rnacentral:rRNA from 1 species
GUYUUUUUGAUAAUAAUUUAAAGUUUAAUYUGCCCACUGAUAUAAAAUUAAAGGGCUGCAGUAUUUUGACUGUACAAAGGUAGCAUAAUCAAUAGUCUUUUAAUUGAUGACUUGUAUGAAAGAUUGGAUGAAAUAUAAACUGUCUUUUUUUAAUUUAUGAAAUUUAAUUUUUUAGUCAAAAAGCUAAAAUAAAUUUAAAAGACGAGAAGACCCUAUAGAGUUUAAUAAUUUAUUUAAUUAUUAUUUUUAUGGUUAUUUUUAUUAAAAAUAUUAAAUAAAUUAUUUUAUUGGGGUGAUAGAAAAAUUAAAAAAACUUUUUUUAUAAUUAUACAUAAAUAAAUGAGUAAAUGAUCCAUUAAUAAUGAUUACAAGAAAAAAUUACCUUAGGGAUAACAGCGUAAUUUUUUUUUUUAGUACAAAUAAGAAAAAGAGUUUGCGACCUCGAUGUUGGAUUAAGAUAAAAUUUAAACGCAAAAGUUUAAAAUUUUGAUCUGUUCGAUCAUUAAAAUCUU